rnacentral:piRNA from 1 species
UCAUGUUCAAAGUGUGACAUUCAGUGU